rnacentral:misc_RNA from 1 species
AAAGUCGUAACAAGGUUUCCGUAGGUGAACCUGCGGAAGGAUCAUUAUCGAAUGAAUGUAGAGUUGGUUGUCGCUGGCCAUUUAUUUUUUGGCAUGUGCACACCUUCUCUUUCAUCCACACACACCUGUGCACCUGUGAGACGGAGAGCUUCUUGCCCUUUUGUUAGGGUGUUUUUCUCCGUCUGCCAAUACACAAACUCAUAUAUAAUUAAUUUGAAUGUAAUCGAUGUAACGCAUCUAUAAACUAAGUUUCAACAACGGAUCUCUUGGCUCUC